GACGAACGCUGGCGGCGUGCUUAACACAUGCAAGUCGAACGGAAAGGCCAGGCUUGCAGGGUACUCGAGUGGCCAACGGGUGAGUAACACGUGGGUGAUCUGCCCUGCACUUCGGGAUAAGCCAGGGAAAGUGGGUGGAAUACAGGAUAGGAGCUAUAUUGAGUGGGAUGGUUGGAAAGUGUUGUAGGGGUAGGAUGAGAUCGCGGCCUAGCAGCUUGUUGGUGGGGUAAUGGCGUACCAAGACGGCGACGUGAAGCCGGCCUGAGAGGGUGGACGGCCAUCCUGGGACUUACAGACGGCCCCGACUCCGACUGGAGGGAGCUGUGCGGAAUCUUGCCCGAUCGGCGCAAGCCUGAUGCUGCGACUCCUCGUGUCGUAUGACUGUCUUCUGGUUGUAGACCCCAUUCGCUAGUGACGAUGCUCUUUUUGACGGUACCUAGAUAAGAAGCACCGGCUAACUACGUG
rnacentral:rRNA from 1 species